AGUGAACGCUGGCGGUAGGCCUAACACAUGCAAGUCGAACGGCAGCACAGUAAGAGCUUGCUCUUACGGGUGGCGAGUGGCGGACGGGUGAGGAAUACAUCGGAAUCUACUUUUUCGUGGGGGAUAACGUAGGGAAACUUACGCUAAUACCGCAUACGACCUACGGGUGAAAGCAGGGGAUCUUCGGACCUUUCGCGAUUGAAUGAGCCGAUGUCGGAUUAGCUAGUUGGCGGGGUAAAGGCCCACCAAGGCGACGAUCCGUAGCUGGUCUGAGAGGAUGAUCAGCCAAACUGGAACUGAGACACGGUCCAGACUCCUACGGGAGGCAGCAGUGGGGAAUAUUUGACAAUGGGCGCAAGCCUGAUCCAGCCAUACCGCGUGGGUGAAGAAGGCCUUCGGGUUGUAAAGCCCUUUUGUUGGGAAAGAAAAGCAGCAGGUUAAUACCCCGCUGUUCUGACGGUACCCAAAGAAUAAGCACCGGCUAACUUCGUG
rnacentral:rRNA from 1 species